rnacentral:sRNA from 1 species
GAGAAAAGACAAAAAC